rnacentral:rRNA from 1 species
UACGUAGGUGGCGAGCGUUGUCCGGAUUUACUGGGCGUAAAGGGCGUGCAGGCGGUUUGUUAAGUGCAGGGUGAAAGCUCCCGGCUCAACUGGGAGAGGUCCUUGCAUACUGGCGAACUCGAGGGAGGCAGAGGAAAGUGGAAUUCCCGGUGUAGUGGUGAUAUGCGUAGAUAUCAGGAGGAAUACCGAUGGCGAAGGCAGGUCUCUGGGCUGACACUGACGCUCAUGCACGAAAGCGUGGGGAGCAAACAGG